UAUUAGGUUCACCAAUAAUGGGGACAACGGGACUAAUUUUUAAUAAUUUUAUUCUAAUCCCGCUGGCCCCAUUAAUGGGGACACGGCUGAUGGGGCCAAC